rfam:TPA: Bos taurus chromosome 7, whole genome shotgun sequence.
UCCUUGAUAGCUCAGUUGGUAAAGAAUCUGCCUGCAACACAGGAGACCCCAGGUUUGAUUCCUGGGUCUGGAA